rnacentral:tRNA from 1 species
GCCCAGGUAGUAUAGCUCGGUUACUUCUGCCGAUGAGUAUGUGAGACUGCGUCUCUCGCGACCCGGGUUCAAAUCCCGGCCUGGGCG